GACGAACGCUGGCGGCGUGCUUAACACAUGCAAGUCGAACGGAAAGGCCCUGCUUUUGUGGGGUGCUCGAUUGGCGAACGGGUGAGUAACACGUGAGUAACCUGCCCUUGACUUUGGGAUAACUUCAGGAAACUGGGGCUAAUACCGGAUAGGAGCUCCUGCUGCAUGGUGGGGGUUGGAAAGUUUCGGCGGUUGGGGAUGGACUCGCGGCUUAUCAGCUUGUUGGUGGGGUAGUGGCUUACCAAGGCUUUGACGGGUAGCCGGCCUGAGAGGGUGACCGGCCACAUUGGGACUGAGAUACGGCCCAGACUCCUACGGGAGGCAGCAGUGGGGAAUAUUGCACAAUGGGCGGAAGCCUGAUGCAGCAACGCCGCGUGCGGGAUAACGGCCUUCGGGUUGUAAACCGCUUUCGCCUGUGACGAAGCGUGAGUGACGGUAAUGGGUAAAGAAGCACCGGCUAACUACGUG
rnacentral:rRNA from 1 species